rnacentral:rRNA from 1 species
GGUUAAGCGACUAAGCGUACACGGUGGAUGCCCUGGCAGUCAGAGGCGAUGAAGGACGUGCUAAUCUGCGAUAAGCGUCGGUAAGGUGAUAUGAACCGUUAUAACCGGCGAUUUCCGAAUGGGGAAACCCAGUGUGUUUCGACACACUAUCAUUAACUGAAUUCAUAGGUUAAUGAGGCGAACCGGGGGAACUGAAACAUCUAAGUACCCCGAGGAAAAGAAAUCAACCGAGAUUCCCCCAGUAGCGGCGAGCGAACGGGGAGCAGCCCAGAGCCUGAAUCAGUGUGUGUGUUAGUGGAAGCGUCUGGAAAGGCGCGCGAUACAGGGUGACAGCCCCGUACACAAAAAUGCACAUGCUGUGAGCUCGAUGAGUAGGGCGGGACACGUGGUAUCCUGUCUGAAUAUGGGGGGACCAUCCUCCAAGGCUAAAUACUCCUGACUGACCGAUAGUGAACCAGUACCGUGAGGGAAAGGCGAAAAGAACCCCGGCGAGGGGAGUGAAAAAGAACCUGAAACCGUGUACGUACAAGCAGUGGGAGCACGCUUAGGCGUGUGACUGCGUACCUUUUGUAUAAUGGGUCAGCGACUUAUAUUCUGUAGCAAGGUUAACCGAAUAGGGGAGCCGAAGGGAAACCGAGUCUUAACUGGGCGUUAAGUUGCAGGGUAUAGACCCGAAACCCGGUGAUCUAGCCAUGGGCAGGUUGAAGGUUGGGUAACACUAACUGGAGGACCGAACCGACUAAUGUUGAAAAAUUAGCGGAUGACUUGUGGCUGGGGGUGAAAGGCCAAUCAAACCGGGAGAUAGCUGGUUCUCCCCGAAAGCUAUUUAGGUAGCGCCUCGUGAAUUCAUCUCCGGGGGUAGAGCACUGUUUCGGCAAGGGGGUCAUCCCGACUUACCAACCCGAUGCAAACUGCGAAUACCGGAGAAUGUUAUCACGGGAGACACACGGCGGGUGCUAACGUCCGUCGUGAAGAGGGAAACAACCCAGACCGCCAGCUAAGGUCCCAAAGUCAUGGUUAAGUGGGAAACGAUGUGGGAAGGCCCAGACAGCCAGGAUGUUGGCUUAGAAGCAGCCAUCAUUUAAAGAAAGCGUAAUAGCUCACUGGUCGAGUCGGCCUGCGCGGAAGAUGUAACGGGGCUAAACCAUGCACCGAAGCUGCGGCAGCGACACUAUGUGUUGUUGGGUAGGGGAGCGUUCUGUAAGCCUGUGAAGGUGUACUGUGAGGUAUGCUGGAGGUAUCAGAAGUGCGAAUGCUGACAUAAGUAACGAUAAAGCGGGUGAAAAGCCCGCUCGCCGGAAGACCAAGGGUUCCUGUCCAACGUUAAUCGGGGCAGGGUGAGUCGACCCCUAAGGCGAGGCCGAAAGGCGUAGUCGAUGGGAAACAGGUUAAUAUUCCUGUACUUGGUGUUACUGCGAAGGGGGGACGGAGAAGGCUAUGUUGGCCGGGCGACGGUUGUCCCGGUUUAAGCGUGUAGGCUGGUUUUCCAGGCAAAUCCGGAAAAUCAAGGCUGAGGCGUGAUGACGAGGCACUACGGUGCUGAAGCAACAAAUGCCCUGCUUCCAGGAAAAGCCUCUAAGCAUCAGGUAACAUCAAAUCGUACCCCAAACCGACACAGGUGGUCAGGUAGAGAAUACCAAGGCGCUUGAGAGAACUCGGGUGAAGGAACUAGGCAAAAUGGUGCCGUAACUUCGGGAGAAGGCACGCUGAUAUGUAGGUGAAGUCCCUCGCGGAUGGAGCUGAAAUCAGUCGAAGAUACCAGCUGGCUGCAACUGUUUAUUAAAAACACAGCACUGUGCAAACACGAAAGUGGACGUAUACGGUGUGACGCCUGCCCGGUGCCGGAAGGUUAAUUGAUGGGGUCAGCGCAAGCGAAGCUCUUGAUCGAAGCCCCGGUAAACGGCGGCCGUAACUAUAACGGUCCUAAGGUAGCGAAAUUCCUUGUCGGGUAAGUUCCGACCUGCACGAAUGGCGUAAUGAUGGCCAGGCUGUCUCCACCCGAGACUCAGUGAAAUUGAACUCGCUGUGAAGAUGCAGUGUACCCGCGGCAAGACGGAAAGACCCCGUGAACCUUUACUAUAGCUUGACACUGAACAUUGAGCCUUGAUGUGUAGGAUAGGUGGGAGGCUUUGAAGUGUGGACGCCAGUCUGCAUGGAGCCGACCUUGAAAUACCACCCUUUAAUGUUUGAUGUUCUAACGUUGACCCGUGAUCCGGGUUGCGGACAGUGUCUGGUGGGUAGUUUGACUGGGGCGGUCUCCUCCUAAAGAGUAACGGAGGAGCACGAAGGUUGGCUAAUCCUGGUCGGACAUCAGGAGGUUAGUGCAAUGGCAUAAGCCAGCUUGACUGCGAGCGUGACGGCGCGAGCAGGUGCGAAAGCAGGUCAUAGUGAUCCGGUGGUUCUGAAUGGAAGGGCCAUCGCUCAACGGAUAAAAGGUACUCCGGGGAUAACAGGCUGAUACCGCCCAAGAGUUCAUAUCGACGGCGGUGUUUGGCACCUCGAUGUCGGCUCAUCACAUCCUGGGGCUGAAGUAGGUCCCAAGGGUAUGGCUGUUCGCCAUUUAAAGUGGUACGCGAGCUGGGUUUAGAACGUCGUGAGACAGUUCGGUCCCUAUCUGCCGUGGGCGCUGGAGAACUGAGGGGGGCUGCUCCUAGUACGAGAGGACCGGAGUGGACGCAUCACUGGUGUUCGGGUUGUCAUGCCAAUGGCACUGCCCGGUAGCUAAAUGCGGAAGAGAUAAGUGCUGAAAGCAUCUAAGCACGAAACUUGCCCCGAGAUGAGUUCUCCCUGACCCUUUAAGGGUCCUGAAGGAACGUUGAAGACGACGACGUUGAUAGGCCGGGUGUGUAAGCGCAGCGAUGCGUUGAGCUAACCGGUACUAAUGAACCGUGAGGCUUAACCUU